rnacentral:snRNA from 1 species
AAAAAGGGCUUCUGUCAUGAGUGGCACACGUAGAGCAGCUUGAUUACGUGCGGAAUCGACAUCAAGAGAUUUCGGAAGCAUAGUUUUUUGGUACGUGGGCAGCUGGUGAUCGUUGGUCCCGGCCCCCGC